CCUACGGGAGGCAGCAGUGAGGAAUAUUGGUCAAUGGGCGCGAGCCUGAACCAGCCAAGUAGCGUGAAGGAUGACUGCCCUACGGGUUGUAAACUUCUUUUGUGCGGGAGCAAUAAUGGUCACGUGUGGCCAGACGAGAGUACCGUACGAAUAAGCAUCGGCUAACUCCGUGCCAGCAGCCGCGGUAAUACGGGGGAUGCAAGCGUUAUCCGGAUAUAUUGGGUUUAAAGGGUGCGUAGGCUGUGAGGUAAGUCAGCGGUGAAAUGCCCCCGCUCAACGGGGUGAAGUGCCAUUGAUACUGCCUUGCUGGAAUGCGGAUGCGGUGGGAGGAAUGCGUGGUGUAGCGGUGAAAUGCUUAGAUAUCACGCAGAACCCCGAUUGCGAAGGCAGCCUGCCAGGCCAUGACUGACGCUGAUGCACGAAAGCGUGGGGAUCAAACAGGAUUAGAUACCCCUGUAGUC
rnacentral:rRNA from 1 species